rnacentral:rRNA from 1 species
AUUGAACGCUGGCGGAAUGCUUUACACAUGCAAGUCGAACGGCAGCACGGACUUCGAUCUGGUGGCGAGUGGCGAACGGGUGAGUAAUGUAUCGGAACGUGCCCAGUCGUGGGGGAUAACGUAGUGAAAAUGACGCUAAUACCGCAUACGAUCUAUGGAUGAAAGCGGGGGAUCGCAAGACCUCGCGCGAUUGGAGCGGCCGAUAUCAGAGUAGGUAGUUGGUGGGGUAAAGGCCCACCAAGCCAACGAUCUGUAGCUGGUCUGAGAGGACGAGCAGCCACACUGGAGCUGAGACACGGUCCAGACUCCUACGGGAGGCAGCAGUGGGGAAUUUUGGACAAUGGGCGAAAGCCUGAUCCAGCCAUUCCGCGUGCAGGAUGAAGGCCCUCGGGUUGUAAACUGCUUUUGUACAGAACGAAAAGGUUUCUACUAAUACUAGGAGCUCAUGACGGUACUGUAAGAAUAAGCACCGGCUAACUACGUGCCAGCCGCCGCCGUAA